rnacentral:rRNA from 1 species
GGGCCCGCACAAGCAGUGGAGCAUGUGGUUUAAUUCGAAGCAACGCGAAGAACCUUACCAAGGCUUGACAUCCCAUUGACCGGUAUAGAGAUAUACCUUUUCUUCGGAACAAUGGUGACAGGUGGUGCAUGGUUGUCGUCAGCUCGUGUCGUGAGAUGUUGGGUUAAGUCCCGCAACGAGCGCAACCCUUGAUCUUAGUUGCCAUCAUUAAGUUGGGCACUCUAAGGUGACUGCCGGUGACAAACCGGAGGAAGGUGGGGAUGACGUCAAAUCAUCAUGCCCCUUAUGUCUUGGGCUACACACGUGCUACAAUGGCUGGUACAGAGGGUAGCGAAGCCGCGAGGUGGAGCCAAUCCCAAAAAGCCAGUCUCAGUUCGGAUUGUAGGCUGCAACUCGCCUACAUGAAGCAGGAAUUGCUAGUAAUCGUGGAUCAGCAUGCCACGGUGAAUACGUUCCCGGGCCUU